rnacentral:sRNA from 1 species
GCGGAGGAAAAGAAACCAACAGGGAUUGCCCCAGUAACGGCGAGUGAAGCGGCAACAGCUCAAAUUUGAAAUCUGGUCCCCCUGCGGGGCCCGAGUUGUAAUUUGAAGAGGAUGCUUUUGGCGAGGCGCCUUCCGAGUGCCCUGGAACGGGACGCCAUAGAGGGUGAGAGCCCCGUAUGGUUGGACGCCGAGCCUCUGUAAAGCUCCUUCGACGAGUCGAGUAGUUUGGGAAUGCUGCUCAAAAUGGGAGGUAAACCCCUUCUAAAGCUAAAUACUGGCCAGAGACCGAUAGCGCACAAGUAGAGUGAUCGAAAGAUGAAAAGCACUUUGAAAAGAGAGUUAAACAGCACGUGAAAUUGUUGAAAGGGAAGCGCUUGCGACCAGACUCGCGCCCGCCGGAUCAGCCGUCGCUCGUCGGCGGCGCACUCCGGCGGGUUCGGGCCAGCAUCGGUUCGCCUCGGGGGGAGAAAGGCGGCGGGAAUGUGGCUCUGCGGAGUGUUAUAGCCCGCCGUGCAAUACCCUCGGGCGGACCGAGGACCGCGCGUAUGCAAGGAUGCUGGCGUAAUGGUCGUCAGCGACCCGUCUUGAAACACGGACCAAGGAGUCGUCC